rnacentral:rRNA from 1 species
UUCGACACACUAUCAUUAACUGAAUCCAUAGGUUAAUGAGGCGAACCGGGGGAACUGAAACAUCUAAGUACCCCGAGGAAAAGAAAUCAACCGAGAUUCCCCCAGUAGCGGCGAGCGAACGGGGAGCAGCCCAGAGCCUGAAUCAGUGUGUGUGCUAGUGGAAGCGUCUGGAAAGGCGCGCGAUACAGGGUGACAGCCCCGUACACAAAAAUGCACAUGCUGUGAGCUCGAUGAGUAGGGCGGGACACGUGGUAUCCUGUCUGAAUAUGGGGGGACCAUCCUCCAAGGCUAAAUACUCCUGACUGACCGAUAGUGAACCAGUACCGUGAGGGAAAGGCGAAAAGAACCCCGGCGAGGGGAGUGAAAAAGAACCUGAAACCGUGUACGUACAAGCAGUGGGAGCACGCUUAGGCGUGUGACUGCGUACCUUUUGUAUAAUGGGUCAGCGACUUAUAUUCUGUAGCAAGGUUAACCGAAUAGGGGAGCCGAAGGGAAACCGAGUCUUAACUGGGCGUUAAGUUGCAGGGUAUAGACCCGAAACCCGGUGAUCUAGCCAUGGGCAGGUUGAAGGUUGGGUAACACUAACUGGAGGACCGAACCGACUAAUGUUGAAAAAUUAGCGGAUGACUUGUGGCUGGGGGUGAAAGGCCAAUCAAACCGGGAGAUAGCUGGUUCUCCCCGAAAGCUAUUUAGGUAGCGCCUCGUGAAUUCAUCUCCGGGGGUAGAGCACUGUUUCGGCAAGGGGGUCAUCCCGACUUACCAACCCGAUGCAAACUGCGAAUACCGGAGAAUGUUAUCACGGGAGACACACGGCGGGUGCUAACGUCCGUCGUGAAGAGGGAAACAACCCAGACCGCCAGCUAAGGUCCCAAAGUCAUGGUUAAGUGGGAAACGAUGUGGGAAGGCCCAGACAGCCAGGAUGUUGGCUUAGAAGCAGCCAUCAUUUAAAGAAAGCGUAAUAGCUCACUGGUCGAGUCGGCCUGCGCGGAAGAUGUAACGGGGCUAAACCAUGCAC